rnacentral:rRNA from 1 species
AGAGUUUGAUCCUGGCUCAGGACGAACGCUGGCGGCGUGCUUAACACAUGCAAGUCGAACGGAAAGGCCCCUUCGGGGGUACUCGAGUGGCGAACGGGUGAGUAACACGUGGGUAAUCUGCCCUGCACUUCGGGAUAAGCCUGGGAAACUGGGUCUAAUACCGGAUAGGACCACUUAGCGCAUGCUUUGUGGUGGAAAGC